rnacentral:rRNA from 1 species
GACGAACGCUGGCGGCGUGCUUUACACAUGCAAGUCGAACGGAAAGGCCCUGCUUGUGUGUGGUGCUCGAGUGGCGAACGGGUGAUUAACACGUGCGUAACCUGCCCUUGACUUUGGGAUAACUUCAGGAAACUUGGGCUAAUACCGGAUAGGAGCUCCUGCUGCAGGGUGGGGGUUGGAAAGUUUCGGCGGUUGGGGAUGGACUCGCGGCUGAUCAGUUUGCUGGUGGGGUAGUGGCAUACCAAGGCCUUGACGGGUAGCCGGCAUGAGAAGGUGGCCGGGCCCCAUGGGCCUGAGGUACGGAGCAGUCGGGUACGGGAGACAGCAGGGGGGAAUCUUGUCCAACGAGGGCACGCCUAGGGAAGCAGCGUUGCGGGCGGGAAGACGGCCUGCGCGGUGUAAACCGCCUUUGCUUAUGACCGAGCGCGAGUGACGGUAAUGGGUAAAGAAGCACCGGCUAACUACGUG